GUCUUACCUCCUCGAACUGAGAUCAAGUGGCUCAAGAGGACCAGGGUGGUCCAAGAGACCCCGAGAAGCACGCCUCGAUCGCAGGAGGGCAUCAUCUCUCCGGCUGAGCUCGUCUUCUCACUGCGGUGAUGUUGGCAGAGACAAUGAACGCGCCGCAUGACUUUCGAUGGAAGUGGGUUGCGGUAAAGGCCUGAGGGAGCUAAAGGGGGGCAGCGCAUGACAAAAAUACAAGCGCGAGACCCCAAACCUGAGCCGCCCGCUUGCUAUGAAUAACCUGACAGCAGAGCUGGAGUGGCCUUAAUGGAGACUUCUGCGACAAGACUGGACUACGGAGUGCGUAUGGAAGUCACAAUAUCAAUGGGGCCAUCUUCGAUCUACCACCUCAGCAGAUUUGCACAGAAAUCAUGAAUACAUAUUCAAUCCGUUAUAAGGUUCCGUUCCAUUGAGGCUGUGCAGAGGCAGCUUCCUGCAGCGUAACAUUGCUGUGAAAUGUGUUGCUCUAUUGUUAUUUCCCCAUUUAGUUGGAGUGUAUUUGUAUUUAGUUCACCAGCCUUAAAAAAAAAAAAAAAAAUAAUCACUUCUGACUUCUGAGGUUCAUUUCAAUGCGUGUCAAAUGUACUGUACAUGCAUAUUCAAGUACAUACAGUGACAAAGUAUAGCACUUCAGAAAGUAAGAAAUGUUAGGAAAUGCCCACUGGAACAGCUGAACUUUAUUUGGGUUUAAUUAAAUAGAUUUAACAUUA